rnacentral:rRNA from 1 species
CUCAGAACGAACGCUGGCGGCAUGCCUAACACAUGCAAGUCGAACGAGACCUUCGGGUCUAGUGGCGCACGGGUGCGUAACGCGUGGGAAUCUGCCCUUAGGUUCGGAAUAACUUCGGGAAACUGAAGCUAAUACCGGAUGAUGACGUAAGUCCAAAGAUUUAUCGCCUAAGGAUGAGCCCGCGUUGGAUUAGCUAGUUGGUGAGGUAAAGGCUCACCAAGGCGACGAUCCAUAGCUGGUCUGAGAGGAUGAUCAGCCACACUGGGACUGAGACACGGCCCAGACUCCUACGGGAGGCAGCAGUGGGGAAUAUUGGACAAUGGGCGAAAGCCUGAUCCAGCAAUGCCGCGUGAGUGAUGAAGGCCUUAGGGUUGUAAAGCUCUUUUACCCGGGAUGAUAAUGACAGUACCGGGAGAAUAAGCUCCGGCUAACUCCGUG